UACGUAGGAUGCUAGCGUUGUCCGGAUUUACUGGGCGUAAAGCGCGCGCAGGCGGCACUGUAAGUAAGGUGUGAAAUCUCCCUGCUCAACGGGGAGGGUGCACUUUAGACUGCAGAGCUAGAGGACGGUAGAGGGGGGUGGAAUUCCUGGUGUAGCGGUGAAAUGCGCAGAUAUCAGGAGGAACACCGGUGGCGAAGGCGGGUCUCUGGGCCGAUACUGACGCUGAGGAGCGAAAGCGUGGGGAGCGAACAGG
rnacentral:rRNA from 1 species